ACAUAACCUGUAAACGCAUGUUCUAUAUAAUUUUGGAAUGUGCAGUUAUGCAGUCAACAAACACAUAACGAAAAAGUUUGCAAAAUAUGAUAUGCCUUUAUGCGAAAAGAUAAAAAAAGAAUUUAAUUAUUGAUUUUCAUGAUUCUGUAUCAUAUACGUAACAUAAUCCUCGGAUUUAAAAAAUGGAGAAUAUUACUGUUAAUCGGUACCUGCGUUCUUGCUUUGAGAAUAAAUGUUAUUUUGCAAACUUUGUAUCCUUCAGUAACGCAGCUGACGGAGCUGCACAAGUGUCCGGUGUGUUACGGGGCUUCCGCGUGUCAUAACGUUCAUAGAAUAGAUCUUCUAUGGAAUGAUGUUAAUGCAGUAAUCUCCCAUUUGUUUGGCGUUAAAAACGUAUUCUAUGGAACGUAUAAUCAGAGCAAAGUGGUGCUAAAGAAGUUGGCAUACUCUUCUGAAUUGAAAGCACUGGACGUUACAUUGUGCAACAAACUCCAUUUGGCAUAUCCUUGCUUGAAUGUUCCAUUAGAUGAAUAUGCAACAGAUUUUUAUGGUCUAAUCAGAAGGACAAUUACCUCUGAUUUUUCUAAGGAUGAUACUAGUCGCUUGAGACUUUGUCCGACAAUAGAACAUUUAGAUGAUCUAUUUUACAAUAUCCAUCUUAACAAUAAACAUAUAGAUCCUACGCAAUACCUAAUUAAUCUCUGGACAUUAGUUUCUAUAAAUCCAGAGCCAUUAAUUCUUCAGAUAUUAUCUGCUGAAGAUGGAUGGCCUGUACCAAAAUAUUUUGGAGCUUGUGGCCGGGUUAUUAUUGAAGAAUAUAUUGGGUCACCACUUUCUGAUUGUUAUGACAAAUCUUGGAUUGAAAGAGUAAAAAUCGCUUCAAGCCUUUUAAAUGCUGCUUACAUGUUUACUUUUAAAAACGAAAAAUUCAGUUUUUAUUUAACGGAUAUAUCGGCCGACAAUAUUGCUGUUGACCAUGAAAAUGUAGCGAAGUUUAUUGAUUUAGAAAAUAUUAUUAUUGUUGACAAAGAUAUUUCUCAAGAAGAUAAAUUAAAAGAAUGGCAGAAAAUACAUAACAACAUGAUGCACCUCGAUUGUCCUAAUUGUUUUGCAUUUUCUGCCGAGGAUAUUUGUAAUCAUCAUUUAAGUGACCACAAUUAUUAUGCAAUUUGUCAGACUGAGCACGAGCAACAUUGAGGAAUUGAUAGAAAGCACGUUGAUACCUUCCUUUCAGUACAUCAAAUUCCACUGUAUUAAGUGAUUCGAUUAAGACACCGGUGGCUUGAGUCAUUGCUUGCUGUCUUGCCGUUCGUUGUGCGACUUCCCCAUUGUUUUGAUUGUUUUUACUGUUUAUGCGAAAGGUUGAACUUGUGCUAUUAUCCAUCCCUAAAUAGUUCAGGAUUUUGAAAUUUCAGAUACAAUGUAUUCUAGUCUUAAAAAAUUAUAAAAAUAUUAACUUGAAUUCUUAACAAUGAAAAAUGAUGCAAUGUAUGAUGCAUUUAUGACAUAAUUAAAUAUGAGAAAAAUUAAUAAAAAAAUUAUCGUAAAUAAA
rnacentral:misc_RNA from 1 species